rnacentral:snoRNA from 1 species
GGUGCCGAUAUGAUGAAACAUUUUUCGGAUGUAAAUGCCUUCGGGCGCAAGUCCGAGAGCGCAAAACCAAGUGGACACCUCCGUUGCCUUCCUUCUGAUCUAUCAC